rnacentral:rRNA from 1 species
UACGUAGGUGGCAAGCGUUGUCCGGAUUUACUGGGCGUAAAGGGCGUGCAGGCGGUUUGUUAAGUUUAGGGUGAAAGCUCCCGGCUCAACUGGGAGAGGUCCUUGAAUACUGGCAGACUUGAGGAGAGUAGAGGAGAGUGGAAUUCCCGGUGUAGUGGUGAUAUGCGUAGAUAUCGGGAGGAACACCAGUGGCGAAGGCGGCUCUCUGGGCUCUACCUGACGCUGAGACGCGAAAGCGUGGGGAGCGAACCGG